rnacentral:lncRNA from 1 species
AGAAUAAUGUUUGGCUGUAGAUAUCUAAAUUUGUUCCCAUCUGCUGCAUAAGGAAGCUUCUCUGAUGAUGCCUGAACAAAGCACUGAUCUACACUAAAUUCUUUGUAAAGUGAGGACUUCUGCCACAUUUUCCAGGCACUGUGCCGCUCUGACCCUGUAACAGAAGAAAGUGACCAUGCACUGAAGCCUCAGAAAUGUGAGGCAAAAUAAAUUUUUCUUCAUAUUAACUGCUUGAAUGAUUGAAGUUCAUGCUGCUCAUAUACACAUUGAGGACUAGGAUGGUUCGGGAACUUAUACUGCUAAGAACCAGACAUUUGUUAAUGCAGACACUGAGCCACCAACCAGGCAGCAUAGACCAGUUCAUAUGAGGCCCCCAACACAUAUGCAGCAGAGGACUUCCUGGAUUGGACUCAGAGAAUGGAUACCUAACCCUGGAGAGACUUGAGGCCCCAGAGAGUUUUGUGUAUGUCCUAAAAAGAGGAACUAUUCUAAAAGUAAUGAGUCUGACAUUGCCAGAUGCUAUUCUAACCAAGGAGUAAUGAAGUGAAACAGGCAAAGAAGAUGCAGAGCAUAAAGAUAAACAUUACCACCUAGGCACUUCUCAUUUCUUCAUCUGUAUGCUGUGAUGCAUAUCCACUCUAAGGUAAUGAGGCAAGCAGUUAUGAUGCUUCACAUGUGCUCUGGCCCAAAGUAGAGGAGGCAGAAAACCAAACACUAAAGGACUGAAAUUAAAAUAAGGUCACUGUUACAAAGGUGUAAACUUGUGGGAAGGACAUCUGCUUGGAGGAAGAAGCCCCAGGAGGAUAUGCUAUGCACAUAUAAUCAACCACCUAGGAAGAUAUUUUUAUUCUCUGGACUCAUUUCAAAUCGGUUAAGCCAUUCAGUCCUUACAUGCAAUUACAGACUUGAUACAAUGAUGCUUAUCUACCAGUUCUGCAAAUGACAAACCUUGGCAUUUUUCAUGUGUUUCUAAUUCUGUAGACAGGUAGGAUGUUUAGUGAAUCCCAGUUACUUUUAAGUGUAAUAAAAAUUUGUUAAUAGUAGAAGUAUAGCAUCUACAUUUGAAAACACUAAGUACCAUAGAAUCUCAUUCUCAGUAAUAGAUAAUUUAAUAUUCUAUAAAUCAAUGUAUUAAAGUCUCAUACUCAAUGAUAGGAAAAUAAGUUAAGUUUGUUUGCAUUUAUUUAUUCUAUUUUUUCUUUUGUUUUUUUGAGAUUAUAAUAUAAUUAUAUUUUUGCUUCCCUUUCCUUCUUCCAAACCCUCCUUGCUCUCUUGCAAAUUCAUGGGCCUUUUUUUAUUGUUUGUUUGUUGUAUGUUAUUAGAUGUUAUUAUGAUAGAUGUUUUUAGGGCUGAUCUGUUUUUUCUAUAUAUGUGUUUUGCAUAUAUGUAUUUAUGUGUGUGUGUGUAUGUGUGUGUGUGUGAGUGUGUGUGUGUGUUUCACACAUGUACCUGGUGUUGACGGGAGGUAGAUUAUAUCCUGGAAGUGGAGUUAAAAAUGACUGAGAGUCUUCACAUAGAUACUGGGAACUAACCCCAGAUCCUCCACAGGAUUGGCAAGUACUUAUAACUGCAGCACCACCUCUCAUGUCACAUGAAUUAUAUUUUAUUAAAAUUAAAGAUGUCUAUUCUCUAAGAAGAUAUGUAACAGGGAGUGAAACAAAUACUGAACAUGUAAUAAAAGUAUACAAAAUAAAGUUAAAACCCAACACUAAGAAGGCAAAACUCAAUUUUAAAUUGUCAAGCAAUCUAAAAAUAUCAAAUGCUAGUUGUAAUGCAUUACUAAAGCUAAAAUGUAUAGUAAAUAUUCCAUUCUUCUAUAAACAUUUUAGUAAACGAAUUGUUGAAUCU